rnacentral:tRNA from 2 species
GGAGAGGUGUCAGAGUGGUCGAAUGAGCCGGAUUCGAAAUCCGGUGUAUCCGCGAGGGUACCGUGGGUUCGAAUCCCACCCUCUCCGCCA